rnacentral:rRNA from 1 species
UGCCAGACUCCUACGGGAGGCAGCAGUGAGGAAUAUUGGUCAAUGGCCGAGAGCCUGAACCAGCCAAGUCGCGUGAGGGAAGAAGGUACUGAGUAUUGUAAACCUCUUUUGCCAGGGGACAAAGGCGGCCACGGGUGGCCGUAAGAGGGUACCUGGAGAAAAAGCAUCGGCUAACUCCGUGCCAGCAGCCGCGGUAAUACGGAGGAUGCGAGCGUUAUCCGGAUUUAUUGGGUUUAAAGGGUGCGUAGGCCGGCUUUUAAGUCAGCUGUGAAAGUCCGCGGCUCAACCGUGGAAUUGCAGUUGAAACUGGAGGCCUUGAGUGCACACAGGGAUGCCGGAAUUCAUGGUGUAGCGGUGAAAUGCUUAGAUAUAAUGAAGAACUCCGAUCGCGAAGGCAAGUGUCCGGGGUGCAACUGACGCUGAGGCUCGAAAGUGCGGGGAUCAAACAGGAUCAGAUACCCCGGUACUC